rnacentral:lncRNA from 13 species
CUGAUCAGAGUAAGAAAAAAAGAAGAUAUGCAUUCAUGUAUCUCCUUUCACUGAGACCUCAAAGCGCUGAGGUGGUGGUGGACAAACUAACCAAUGGCCAGCACAGAAUGAUCAGAUGGAAUAGAACUUUGGAAUAUGGGAUGAUUUUCUUGCUUUGGUCAAUCAAACAGAUCCCUAUCCAGACUGAGGUCUCAAAAUUCUAUGGUGCGAUAAAAACAGGUUUCUUUGUCACACGUGCUUUUUGUUUCCAAGAUAUACCCAUCGUGCACAUAAUAUGGGUGCUAAGAUGAGUUCCGUUGGUGAUGAUUUUUCUUGGGUAAAUCUUUGUUUUUAGUGUCUACAUGAUUCAGUUAUCUAGCCAAUGCUCUUUUUGUUAUCGGAAUAGUUUUUUCCAGGGUCUAUAUUUUGAGUGUAAAUGUGUAUUUUGUUGAGUAUUUCCAGAACAUAUAUUUUGCUUGGAAAAAAAUUGGAUCAACAGUGAUGUAAAAAAAAAAGCAAAAAUAAAACGUCUUUAUAUUAAAACCUACCAUUGAAUACCCCAAAAACUUGUGAUGGACUGAACAUGUUCAAGCAUGAAUGACAACAGUGGAGACAUAAGUGAUGAGGCCUGAAGUCUUUCCACCAGUGUAUUUUGUAUUUUAUUGCAUCUCAAGGGACUCACAUGCAAGUGGGGGAGAGGAGGUGGGGUGGUCUUACCAUGCUGAAUCCUUGGUAAGACCCCAUAAAAGAAGGGGAUCCCAUUGGAACGUUCUAGGGGUGUGGAGUGGGGGAGAGGAGGUGGGAAAUUACCACACUACUUACAACACAGGCACAGUAAAGACAACACUGCAACAACAAACACACAGACAUAUCACUGACACACGCACACAUAGUAAACAUAGACAAAGACAUAAAAAAAAACAUUUUAAGACGCACGCAGAGAGAGAACAGCAAAGCACAUAAAAACACUCUAACCUCUUAAAUCAGGUUCAGGUGAUUUGCUCAGAAGCAUUUGAAGACCACAGGGUCAAUCAUAAGAAUACAUGGAUCAGGCAAGCCAGUUUAAUCAGCGACUGGUUAUCUGAUGUUCAUGUCAGUGGUGAGGCUUUGGCUAAAAUUAACAGCUGAAGCCAUAGGUUAAUACAGUAACUACAGACCCUAUAGCAAAAGCUUUCUUGGCUAAUGGUUAGUGCAGCAAUUAAAUUAUGAAGAUAAAGCGAUCUAAAUUUGUAUUGUGUUUCGUUUGGACACUGGGAAGAGGAGCUGUUGCUCAAAAAAUGGGGAUUGAAAUAAGGAAAUAUCUAGAUGAACGGGGCAUUUUGGGGUCAGGUGGCUUGUUUGAGGUCAGAACUUUAAGGGAAGAAAAGGAGGGAAGUGGUUUCACAAGCAGCUCCUUGGUUUGGGACAAACCUCAGCCCGCUCAGAGCUCUCCAGUAUUCCCAGUCCAACCCCUUAGUUUUCCCACAAAAUGUUCACCCCUUUAAACCAAACACCAAAUUCCAAAUGUCCAUAUUCCAAAUGUGAUUGGACCACCCUGGAGAGUCAGAGAGGAGAGGUGCGUGUGAUUGGCUCCAUGCCAUGCCUGUCACUGCCAUGUGGCUGCACUCCAUGCUAUAUGACAAAGACCAGAUUUACCAUGGGAGCGCCCCAACUUGGAGGAGCUACCUGAGGAGUUGACCAGCCUCCACUUCCCAUCGUGUUCUCCCCCCUGCGGAAGAGAUGUCAAUCAGUCAGUAAGCAAAUAGAAAGAGAGGAAGAAAAGACAGAGGCCCCCAACCUCUUAAAAUGUAAAGCUCAUUGAGCGCUUGGAAAAUGCUAUGUGAAUGUAAUCCAUGACAUUAAGUUACAUGUCGAAACACAAAGUGACACAUCCUCAAAACAGGAAAAGCGUACGUUUUUUGGCUCCCCAUUCCCAGAUCUGAAAGAGAGAAAAUAAGACAUUUCCCAGUCAGACAGAAUAAUGUACAUUUAAUAUCUUAUAACAGUUGCGAGUGCUAUGUAACAUUAUUGUACCUCUACUGUAAUUACACGGUAUCUGGCUAUGUAACAUUAUUGUACCUCUACUGUAAUUACACUGUAUCUGGCUAUGUGACAUUAUUGUACCUCUACUGUAAUUACACUGUAUCUGGCUAUGUGACAUUAUUGUACCUCUACUGUAAUUACACUGUAUCUGGCUAUGUGGCAUUAUUGUACCUCUACUGUAAUUACACUGUAUCUGGCUAUGUGACAUUAUUGUACCUCUACUGUAAUUACACUGUAUCUGGCUAUGUGACAUUAUUGUACCUCUACUGUAAUUACACUGUAUCUGGCUAUGUGACAUUAUUGUACCUCUACUGUAAUUACACUGUAUCUGGCUAUGUNNNNNNNNNNCAGGAAAAGCGUACGUUUUUUGGCUCCCCAUUCCCAGAUCUGAAAGAGAGAAAAUAAGACAUUUCCCAGUCAGACAGAAUAAUGUACAUUUAAUAUCUUAUAACAGUUGCGAGUGCUAUGUAACAUUAUUGUACCUCUACUGUAAUUACACGGUAUCUGGCUAUGUAACAUUAUUGUACCUCUACUGUAAUUACACUGUAUCUGGCUAUGUGACAUUAUUGUACCUCUACUGUAAUUACACUGUAUCUGGCUAUGUG